rnacentral:tmRNA from 1 species
GGGGGCGACCUGGCUUCGACGUGGGUUGCAAAGCCGGAGGUGCAUGCCGAGGAUACAGCUAACCUCGUUAAACUUGCUGUACAACCAUAGUUGCCAACGACGACAACUACGCAUUAGCUGCUUAAAAACCAGCUGUGCCGUUUGACUGCGACGUGCUUGUGCGUGGCUACUCAGACGUCAUCGAUCACAAGCUCGCGGUAAAGCUCGCCUGGGGCCGAACCGCCAAAUAACACCAUCAGGCUCGCCGCUCACCGCCCUGCCCGUCGGGAGGUGGCCGGUUAAGUUAAAGACCGGGCUAAGCAUGUAGUACCAAACGUAGAGGACUUGCGGACGCGGGUUCGAUUCCCGCCGCCUCCACCA